ensembl:ribozyme RNaseP_nuc Nuclear RNase P
GUGGGUGGAAGCUCAUCAUAGAGGUCACAUGCAGGGUGCUUGUCACUCAACCAAUCACCUUGGGGAAGGUCUGAGACAAGAGCCAAUCACUGCCCUAGCAGGGUAUCACCUGACCUGGGUGAGUGAGUGCACAUUGUGAGUUGUCUUUACAGGAGAAACCAGCCAGAGCAGCUCUCCAGCACUACUGGUUGAUGUGACCUCACUGGCUUGGAAACACUCAUGGCUGUCAUAUGAGUGCAAUGUGUGAGUUGGAGUACACCUCCAGAACCCAAUUCAGACUACUCUCUGCCCAC